rnacentral:rRNA from 1 species
GCUUCAGUGCUACUUAAAAUAGAGUCUUAUUUAUAAAUAAAGUUGGCGUGAAUUAAUAUAAAAAAUAUUUUUUUAGUUUAGUUUGUAGUAAAGUUUAUAGAAGCAAGAUUAUAUAAAUGAUAGUUUAGAAGUAUUGUAAAAGAAAGAUUUAGUUUAAUGUUGUAGAAAAGAAAAACUAAAUAUUUGUACCUUUUGUAUCAGGGAUUAUCAAAAUAAGUUAAUUAUAUUAAAAAUCUCGAAAUAGAGGGAGCUAAUAGUAUAUGUUUACUUUUGUUGUAAAACAACGAUAAUAUGCUAUUAGUAAUGAAAUUUUAGUCGGCCUUUAUAUAUCUAGUUUCUUUUGAAGUAAAUUUAAUUUAGUAAUUUUAAACAAUUUUUAAGAUUAUAAAAAGUAGGAUGGAAGAGCUUCUUGACUUAAUUUAUAAGGGAAUAAUUGAUAUAGUUUUAAACUAGGCUUAAGAUCAGCUUUGUUUUGAGUGCGUUUUAGCAAAGGUAUUAAUGGUUUAUAUUUUUAUUUCUUUUAACUAAUUAAAAAGAUAUGAUGGUUAAUUUAAAACUGUUAGUAAUAAUGAUGGUAUUAGUAGAUUGUUAGGUUAGUUUUUAAAAUUUAAAUUAAAAUUGUUUAUUUAAUUAAAAUAAUUGAUAAAAAUAAGGAAUUCGGCAAAAAUUAUCCUUGCCUGUUUAUCAAAAACAUGUCUUUAUGUAUGAAGUAUAAAGUCUGGCCUGCCCACUGAUUUUUUUAAAGGGCCGCGGUAAAUUGACCGUGCGAAGGUAGCAUAAUCAAUAGUCUUUUAAUUGGAGGCUGGAAUGAAUGGUCGGACGGGGAUAGUCUGUCUUGUUUUUAAUAAUUGAACUUUACUUUUAAGUGAAAAGGCUUAAAUAUUUAAGUGGGACGAUAAGACCCUAUAAAACUUUAUGUGUAAAAUUUGUAUGUAAAGUAUUUAUUAACAUUAAUAAGUUUUAUUACAUUGUGUUGGGGCGACAGAGAUAUAAUAAGAUAACUGUCUUUAAGAAGAAAUAACAUAAUUAUUUUUAAAUUGAUCCUUAACUUAGGAUUAAAAGUUUAAGUUACUUUAGGGAUAACAGCGUAAUUUUUUCUGAGAGUUCUUUUCGAAGAAAGUAGUUGCGACCUCGAUGUUGAAUUAAGAUGUUAUCAAGGUGCAGAAGCUUUGAUUGUAGGUCUGUUCGACCUUUAAAAUCUUACAUGAUUUGAGUUCAAACCGGUGUGAGCCAGGUUGGUUUCUAUCUUCUUAUUUUUAAGUAAUUAUCUUAGUACGAAAGGACCAGGUAAUUUAAAUAAUUUAUUGAAUUUAGAUUAAUAUUAAAUU